GAUGAACGCUAGCGGCAGGCCUAACACAUGCAAGUCGAGGGGGAAGUUACUUUCGGGUGACUGAGACCGGCGUACGGGUGCGUAACGCGUAUACAAUCUGCCUUUCACUGGGGGAUAGCCCGAAGAAAUUUGGAUUAAUACCCCAUAGUAUAUAGGGACGGCAUCGUUUUUAUAUUAAAGCUUAGGUGGUGAAAGAUGAGUAUGCGUUCUAUUAGCUAGUUGGAGAGGUAACGGCUCCCCAAGGCGAUGAUAGAUAGGGGUUCUGAGAGGGAUGUCCCCCACACUGGUUCUGAGAUACGGACCAGACUCGUACGGGAGGCAGCAGUGAGGAAUAUUGGACAAUGGUCGGAAGACUGAUCCAGCCAUGCCGCGUGCAGGAUGAAGGUCUUAUGGAUUGUAAACUGCUUUUGUAAGGGAAGAAUAAGGGCUACGCGUAGUUUGAUGACGGUACCUUACGAAUAAGCAUCGGCUAACUCCGUG
rnacentral:rRNA from 1 species